UACGAAGGGGGCUAGCGUUGUUCGGAAUUACUGGGCGUAAAGCGCACGUAGGUGGUUUUCUAAGUCGGCUGUGAAAUCCCCGGGCUCAACCUGGGACUUGCAGUUGAAACUGGGAAGCUAGAGUAGGGUAGAGGGGUGUGGAAUUCCAGGUGUAGCGGUGAAAUGCGUAGAUAUCUGGAGGAACAUCAGUGGCGAAGGCGACACCCUGGACUCAUACUGACACUGAGGUGCGAAAGCGUGGGGAGCAAACAGG
rnacentral:rRNA from 1 species